GGAACUACACUCCGCUGCUUCCGAGAACCUCGGCCGUGACAUUCGGGGCCGGGCGGGACCCGCCCCACAGACUCCAACUUCCUCUCCAAACCCCGAAGUGAAACCCGCCACCGGGUUACCCCCACCAUGGGGCCGCUGCGAGAAGUUCACCCACCCCCGAAAAAAUAAUUAAACUCGCAGGCCAGGCACGGUGGCUCACGCCUAUAAUCCCAGCACUUUGGGAGGCCAAGACGGGCGGAUCUUUUGAGGUCAGGAGUUGGAGGCCAGCCUGGCCAAAAUGGCGAAACCCCAUAUCUACUAAAAUACAAAAAUUAGCCGGGCGUGGUGGCGGCCGCCUGUAAUCCUAGCUACUUGGGAGGCUGAGGCGCGAGAAUCUCUUGAACCCGGGAGAUGGAGGUUGCAGUGAGCAGAGAUCGUGCCACUGCACUCCAGCCUGGGCAACAGAGGGAGACUCCUCCGUCUCAAAAAAAUAAAUAAAUAAACUCGUGAGCUGGCCCCAACCCCUCCUAGGAAUCACAGCUUCCCGUACUGGUGCCGCCGCAGUGGCCAAGUUGCGACACUGCCCACGGCCCCUCCCUCUGAUACAGAUUCAGGGCUUCUCUUCGAUCAUGUUGGGUUUUGAUUCUGUUUUUCCUUGACUGCAAAACCCUCUUUCCGCUCCUCUUUUGGGACAAGAGCCCUGGUUUUCUACGCUGCCCUUGGCCACCACACUGCCUGCCCCACGAGCUGGGAGGCAGGUUUUGUACGGUGGGUCUCAAACUCCUGGCCUCCAGUGAUCCUCCCGCCUCAGCCUCCCUGAGUCGCGUGAGCCACCACACGUGGCCUCAUGGCGUCUUUGACCUGGACUCCUGUUUACCACCAUCCCCAUCACACCCAGAAUCCACACCCCCACUGCGACGUCCUUGUCUGUUCUGUACAGCCACCUCUCAAGGCCCAACAAGGCUGAACCUGGGGCAAGUGCAUAAAGAAAGCUCCACUCUGACCCAGUCUACUGCUGGGACCUUGGGACGGGAGCUGCCUGCCUUAGCCUCAGAGCCCCCUAGCCUUGCCAGGCACUGUCC
rnacentral:lncRNA from 1 species